CCAAGCCCAAUCCUAAACUCUAGAGGUUAGCUGGUUACUGGUUAGUGGAUAGGGCAUUAGCAUUUAGCAAUUUAGAUUACAGUACAGUUGAGCGGCGAUUUGGCAAUUUCCGACUUCCUGGCGAUUUCCGACUUCCGAGCUCCGACUUCUCACUCCUCAGUCCUCACUCCUCACAAAUUCCGGGCAAACGAAGAUGUUGUUGUUGCGAACUUGCGAUAGUUUCAAUUUUCAAAGGUAUGUUUCUACUUUCUAGCGAUGGAAAUGAAUUUGAUGAAGAUUUCUAGCGAUGUUCUUUAGCGAAGAUUAAUUUUAUAUUCGAAACUCAUUUUUUUAUUAAGUGUUUGAUUAGGUAUAAAGUAGGUUGACAUAUGAGAAUCCUAUAAGGUAUAGUAGUAGAACAGGGAAUGAAGAUAGUAGUUUCGUGAAAUUUCUUUAGCAGUAAGCGUUGGCAGUUGUGUAUAGAUAUUGAUUGAAGUAACUGAUACAGGAAAAUGAUUCUGUAACCUAAUUUAUGUAGCCCGUUGCACAAACUGUAGUAAUUGUAUCUUACUAGAGCUAACUGGAUAGAAACUGUACUAAUUUCGGUUGUUGUUGCUCUCUGUUCUUUAGUAAUGGACAUAGUACUCUGAUUAAUUUUGGAUAGAUCAUAUUGUAAUUUGUAUUUGACAGCAUAAAGAUAAAUGAAGAUGAUUACAAAAAGAUUUUGUUUUCUCUUUCUAUUUUGUUAAAAUCUUCUUUAGACUUGGUGGAAUCUUCAACUUUAUUUAGACUGAUAUAUGACUAUAUUUUAAUCGGCGGGCUAAUGGACUCGAUAUUGUGUUAUUGUUAGCAUCUUUUAAAAGAACUGCUAGUGUUACUGUUAGCAUCUUUUAGCUGCUGCAAGACCUCAAACUUGUUGAAUGUUGUGUAUUUGUGUUUAUGGUUUGGCUGUUCAGGUGUUCUUGGCAUUGGCAGUGUGUAAAUAUAAUUGGCACAGUGCAAUUGGUUGUUCAGGUGUUCCUGAUGUUGCUGCUGCAUCUUAGUUACAAUUGCAACUUGGCAGUAUGUAAAUGUUUGGUUGUUCAGGUGUUCUGCAGAUGGUUUGGCUGUUCAGGUGUUCUGCAGAUGCUUGUUACAUGUUGUGCAGGUGUUCUGAAUGCUAGUCAUCUCUUUUAAAGAAUGACAAGAAUAAUUCUGGUUUUUCUUGUUUGGCUACAGAUCUAUUAGCUUGGCUGCAGAUGAUUGUUACAUGUCCUGAAGCCUUAAGUCUAAUUAUGUUGUGUGNNNNNNNNNNNNNNNNUAAUUACAAUUAGGCUAUACAUCAUUUAGGUGUAAGGUUCAAAUUUCACCAAGGGUUUUUCUCUUUGUCUAUACAACAACAACCCAGUAUAAUCUCACUUAGUAGAGAGACUAUUUCCAAAUAAAAACUCGACAUAUUUCUCUCAAAGAACUUCCCACCUUGCUUUUGGGGAGACUCGAACUCACAACCUCUUGAUUGGAAGUAGAGUUUGCUUACCAUCAGCGCAACCCCUCUUCUUCCAUUAUUCAUUGGUCUAUCUAUAUUAAAAAUCCCUCCUUUGGAAAAGGUUUAAAAUAAAUUUGAUGUUAUUUUCCUUUCUUUGCGAGGCUAAACCAAUUUUGAGAUUUUAUAUACUCCAUCAUUUUACCGAGGAUUUUUCAUUUUUUAAAAUUCUUUCGUGGGGUUAAGUGUUUCUGAUUUGUGAUUAGUAAGAGAAAAAAUAAAAAGGAAAGGUCUUUGAUGGGAAUUGAACAGUGCACCUAGGUGGUGCAGGGGUGAAAUUGCGUAGAACAAGCUAUCAUGCCAGAUGCUGUAUAUUAUACCAUGUUUAAUAGAAGUCAAAAUCUAUAGGAUAAGGGUUCAAGAACAGCAAUAACAACAACUACGCCUGAAUAUACAUGUUUAAUAGAAGUUAAAAUCUAUAUUAUAAGGGUUCAAGAACAGCAAUAACAACAACUACGCCUCUGUCCGUCCCAAACAAGUUGGAGUAAGCAAUAUGAAUCCUUAUUAACAAUUCAUGUCAAGAAAUGUACAGGAUACAUGGAAAAAAAAAAAAUAAACACCUUUGCUAUAAUGUUGAGACAAAAAGUCAGUAUCUGUGUAUGGUUAUCCUUUCAAAAGUACAUGUGAAGAAUAACAAUUUAUUGAAUGGCAUCUUGAAAAUUUGUACAGAACUGGGAAUAAUAUGAGAUCAGAACAAAACAGGAUACAUGAAUUCUGCAAGUUUUGGAUAUGCCUUCAAGUUAUAAAUUAUUUUCUUCAUUUUCUAUCAUAUCGCGAACCUCAGUAACGACUAAAUAUGCUUUGUGGCCUCCAAUUACUUCCGCUUGUUUAUUUCCGUCCCUCCAUAACUGCACAUAAGCAACAUUCAUACUAUCAUUUAACCAUGAAGAUGAUAAGAAGCAUUUGAAGCUAAAACCAUACGAGUAAAGUUAGCUUUCGAGCAGCUAAACAAAAUGAGUUUGUUACCUGUAUGGUCGGCAUUUUCUGUUCAUGUUUUGUUGCCACAGAGAUUUGGACACAUGAAAAUGUAGAAUUUCACAUCAUUAAAUGAAUAUGAAUAAAUUCAAAUCACAAUAUUGCACAUACUAAUCAAACAAUUCUAAUGAACAGUACCACUUUAUACAAAUGAAAAGGAGUGUUUUUAACUAGUAACAUCUGCUUUUAGCAAGUAAAGGAUUUAUACAUCUUAAUAUCUUAUGACAGCUGCAUGCUAGCUGUAUAUAUUGAGUGGAGUCUAAAUUGUGGGGUGAAAAUCAUAUCUUUUGCUCUCUGCCACAUUGCCCGAAAACAGAUGGCCUAGUUGAAGCUUAUGGGUUUGGAAUUCUAAUCUUUUUAAGCUACUGGGUUCUAAAUUUAUUUGUAUAUUUUCAAUGGAUUUCUUAGACGAAUACAGACAAAUAUAGGGUUUGGAUCAAAGCUAUUGAGUUCGGCCGAACCUGCAACCGAAAUGCUAGCUCCGCCCUGCCUAGUUUAACCAUCACGAGGUAAAGCUAUCUUCUACUUAUUUCUAAUUUCAGAAAUCGUGUGCAUGUAAACAUUUUUCUAAACAUGCUGUAUCAACUUUUACAGUCAAACUACGCCCUAUCGUCCUAUUUAUGGUUUUCUAGCCAUUGUUUGCUAAUUCACCUAAAGGUACUGCAUCUCCUAGUACAUGUAAAAUAGGUACCUCUUAUCUAAUUAAACUGUAAUUUAUUAUUACUUCUGAAAAGAUUAUUGGAUUAGGUAUUCGGCCAGACAGAUAACACGAAUUUGGAUGCAACGCAUCUGGAAAAAUUCUACUUGGGUCUGGACUUUAAGGCCAAGAAAUCACAUCCAGCUUCAGCAUCUAAGCUCAAUUAAAAGCUAUAGGAUUUAGCCGCAAGGGGGUAGAUUUUAGCAAUCGAGGAAUUGCGGUAACACUCCUAAGAACCAAGGUUCGAAUAUCAACAAAUGCAACACCACGUCGGUCUAAGCCUUAGCCAAAGAGUUAACCAGAUACCUAGGUGAGAGGAGCAGGUACUUGAUGAAUUGAUUGAAGUGCACAUUAUCUGGCUAGGACACCAUCAUUAUUAAAAAGAAUAACUACGUACAAUCCAUUGACAGUCUAGAAAGAAAAAAGAUUUUUUUAUGCUUUCGUAAGGGAAUGCUGCAAACUGGCUAGUUGCAAAGAUGGUGUCUCAAACAGCCUGAGGAGUUUGAGUAAAUUUUUAUAUGCUUUACAAGUUUAGUAGUCAAUAUUCCUGAGCCGAGGGUCUAUUGGAAACAGCCUCUCUACCUUCCCAGGGUAGGGGAACGUCACGUCUGCGUACAACACUACCCUCUCCAGAUCCCACUUGUGGGAUCCCACUGGGUUUAUGGUUGUUGUUGUAAGUUUAGUAGUCAAUAAUUACAUAGCAAAAAGACAUCAACCAUUUGGUAGAUUUAGGGGAAAGGAAACCUUACAGUUAUUCCUGCACGAACCACAAGCUUGUGUGGAACAUUAUUGACAUCAACACAGUAAAAGCGUGUUCUGUAAAAUCAAGAUAGCAGAAGAUUCAGAUCAGUACCCAAAUUCAACUAAAGCUAUUCAAUCGCAAGAAAGUGAUGCACAAUGCAUACCAAGUACACACAAGAUACUUCAUCCGCAAACAAGCAGUUAAGCAUGAGCAAUUACUGCCUUAACUAAAAAUUGAUCCUUGAAAUUCUAGUUUUAGAAGUAAUAUAAAUAGCCACCGUCCUCAUCCAAAUUUAUGAACUCGAGUAAUUUAAGUGUCCUCAAUCCUUCCCUGCUAUCUGAAUCACCGGGACUUAUUUGAUAACAUGAGAACUGUUCACCAAUUUAUUAUUGAGUCUUUCAGGAAGCAAUAAAAGAACUACAAGAGAAAAAUUCAGAGCACGUAAUCCUUCUCAAAAAUAUUCACAGAAACUAGCAAUAAAUGUCACAAAAAUCCAAAGUUUUGAAAUAUCUCAUAUGACAGAUAGCGACAAGUUUGAAGAGUAGUGCGGAAGUUGAUCAGCAAAAAGUUUGAAGAGGAGCACAAAAGCUAAUCGCAAAUCGUGCAGGAACAAAUUGCAAAAAAAGUACACUUUAGGCCUAGAUAAAGCCUUUUUAAUGCAAGGUGCUAUAUCUGAAGGGAGAUGCAAGAGAGCACAACCUUGGGAAGUAGUCAGCAGCUAAUUUUUCCAAUUUUGGUUUCAAGUAUAUGCAUUUGCGACACCAGGUUGCCAUCCUGCAGAUUCAAAAAGAUUCAAAAUUACAUCAACUUAAUACCAGCUUCUUUCUUGAUAAUAUUUCAUAUAUUACAUAUAAAUAACCUUUUCCAGAAGAAUAACUGAUACAACAUCUAUAUGCUAAGCCACAGACUUAUUUAAGACUAAGGUGUUUCAAUCUUUUGCAGGGCCACAAAAGUGGAAACUAUUCUAGGUUUCCCAAUACAUGCAUCAGUAGAAAAAGAUUGUGACUCCUAGAAGCAAAAUGGAACACCUUCCUCUUCUAAAGGGCAGCCCGGUGCACUAACCUCCCGCUAUGUGGGGGGAAGGACCACAAGGGUCUAUUGUAUGCAGCCUUACCCUACAUUUCUGCAAGAGACUGUUUCCACGGCUUGAACCCGUGAGUCCGUGACCUCCUGGUCACAUUGUACAUGGAAUAAGGAUCAGAGACUAAAUAUGAGAAUUCAAACCAUUCACUUCUACCCUGCUAUGCUAAAGUUACGAGAGGCACAUGGAAACUACAAAUGAAACUCUUGCAUCUGCCUAGGAAUGUAAAUGGGUAUUAAAUUUCAAACAUGUAACCUGUACAAGAAACUCUUGCAUCUGCAUAGUGUAGAACAUUGUAAGACACUAUACAUAAUUGAGCCCUCUAAUUGCAUGUAAUCUCUCAAUAUUUGGAACUUUUCAUGUGUACUUCCUAUAUAUUAGCACUUCUUAUUGAGUUAUUUGUUUCACAUUUUCAGAAAUUUCAUUCCAUCACUUGGUUGACUUAUACUCGAGCCAUCCCCAUAACUACUGUUCUACCAAUAUAACAUGCCAAAAUACCAAAUUAUAACAAAAAAAAACACACAGGGGCGAAGCUACAUAGCCCUAAGGAUGGUCAAUUGACCACCCUUCGACGAAAAAUUAUAUAGGUAAAAUAUUAGAUUUUUAGAGGUAUAUAACAUAUAUUACCCUUUUUUUCUACUUCUUUCAAGUUUGUAGAUGAAAUUCGUGGCUUCUCUACUGUAAAACACAUCCUUUACACAACGCCAACUUCAAAUACUAAUAAAACAGCAUAAAACCCCAAAAUACCAGCAUGAAGUUCUAGUUAAGCUCCACUCCAUAUUUCCAUUCAAAAAUAAAAGGCCAACAUGAGAAAAUAAAACCAAUUUACUCUGCUUUUUACAAAAGACAACUGCAAAAUUAAUUACAAACCAAAAAAGGCAAAAAAAAACUUUAUAACCCUUUUAUUUUUUUUCCAAUUAGAUAAUAACCCUUUAUUUCUUUCAUAUGUUCCAACAAGAAAAUAAUGUUCUUGCGCUAUUUUUUCCAUAUGAAAGACAUGAAUCACAAAUACGAAUAAUUCACGUACCAUAGAAUUACAACGGAUUCAUCAAUUUGCUGGGCUUCAGAAAUGACCCGAUCAAAUUGAGCUUCACUAGAAAUAGGUUGUAGCUCAACUGAAGCUGGUGAAUUAUCAAGAUCUUGUACAGAACUUUCUUCACGGUUAUUUUCCAAAACCUCAGCUCUAGCUCUGAAUUUUAAAUGAAUUUUUGAACAAUUUACAGAUAUUGGGAAGACAUGCAUUAAUUUUAGACAUUUGAAGUUUGAUAUGUAGGAUUGGUUUGAUUUCUUGGGAUAUAAUUGUUGAAUAACUGGAGAGAAUUGUGUAGAGCUAGACAUUGGGUUGACCUGCUGUUGGUUAUGAAUUACGAGUCACAUCACAGGGGCAAUUGGCAGUGUAGUUGAAGAAGGGGAGAGGAGUUAAGCGUGCAUUGCACGUGCAACGUUGGCGUCUUUGGCAGGCAUGCGAUGUCCCAUUUAGGGGUCCUUUUUCGUUAUUAAGCGACCUGAAGCUUGAACCGAUAUGUCUAAUUAUGCAUUGGAUCGCUUCAUUCCUAGAACUUGAAUCUGGGACGUCUGUUUAUGUAUUUGCUUUGGUUGACUCUAAAUGUACUUAUUUUUAUGUGUUUUUACUUUAUAUUGCAAUUCAGUAUUACAAAUUUUAGAAUUUGCUCCAUGAGCUCGUUGUAAUGUCUUUGAUUAUGCCAGAUUUUCUUCUAAAGAAUAAACAAGUAUAUUAUGACAUUGAGAUUAGUUUUACUAAUAUUAGCUGUAUGAAUGCGCCUAGUGGUGCUGAAGAGGCUUUUAUUUUUGGAUAAAAGAUGAUAUAUAAGCGUUAUUGAUUUUCUAUGCUCUUAGCGUUGUUAGAAUCCAAGAUUAGAAGGAAAAAUUCAAUAGACAUUCCAAUAUCCAUUUCCUAAGAUAGAUAAGAGUUCGGCUAAAAUAAUAGUCAUGAUACCCCUCCUCCCCGUCUACGGGUAUUCGCCUCCAAAGUCUCUCUUAUAAUAGGUUGGAAAACUCCGUAUUAAGAAGAAGAUUUGGAAAAAAUCACCAAUCUUACAGAAGCCAAAAGCCACAAAUGAGUAGCUAUACAAAUCAAAAUUUCAAAAGCCAAAAGAAAGAUUUGAAGAAAAGAAAGAAGUUGGCUGAAACGAGUCAACUUUUCAUACUUUUUGCUAACUCGAUUUUAAUACUAAGUAAGCUCCCAUCAAAUAAGUAAGAAAAUUCAAUUACAAUGUAAAGAGAGAGCGUACGAGAGUUAGAAAAAGGAACUUGGAAGGAACAUAUUACCAAUUCUAACUUUUGAAUAACUAAUAAAUUUCAAGGGUAGAUCUUAUUAUUAUAUCAAAAUAAAUAUUCUUUCAAUCAUUUUCGAUGAAACCAAAAAAAUGAAAAAAAUUCUAAAAGAAUAAAACCUCAAGACUCAAUUAGAGUGUAAGAACAGAAAAUGAAGCAAUAAACAUAUUCUCUAUAUAUGGCCAUAUGUUUUGAGUAACAGGCAAUCAAAUCACAUAAUAUUUCUUCCCUAAACGACAAUAAGAAUAAAGAUUGCGGGACAAAGAUAAAAAAAAUGAUUGUAUCAAAAUCACAAGCUUGAGACUUAUUCAGAAAAGGAGAACACUCUGAGAACCAUACUACAUAGUAUAAAAUAGAAUUUUGUAUAAUAAUAGACUUGAAAAUAUCUGCAGCCAUUGUUUGUAUUACCAAAAUUUUAACUCAUAAACUUUGGAUGAUUUUGGAGAGAGCUGAAUAGGACCCAAUAACUGCUGAUAUGACACCAAUUAUGAUAAUAAGUAUACAUGCUGAUACCUGCAUAAAAGAGGCAGUGUUAUCAAAAGCGAAAAGCGCAAAAAAGCUUUAAGGUCUGCUGGGGCUUUAAGCGCAACGCGCUAAGAAAGCGUGGGCUUCGGUGAAAAAAGGCGCAAAAGGAGAAGCAAUACAAAUAUGUAUUGGCUAGUCAAAGACUAAUAAUUAUAAGCAUGAAUUAAAAAUAUAUGAACAAAGAAAUUGAAAAAAAAAAGAUUACGAUAAAGUGAAAUAUCAAUUGUCUAGUGUUGCCUCUUUAGAAUUACGCUCAUUAGCAAGGAAAAGUAUGCCUUAGAGCUUUGAGGGCGACACUGAAGCGUCGACUAAGCAACGCAAACCGCUCAACAUGUGUUGCACCUCGCUUCAAGGCUUAAGCACGCUUAAUGCGUGCCUUUGACAACACUGAGAAAAGGAUAAAAGAACAAGUUCCAUCACCAAGGACGGUAAUGCUAACAACGUGGAUGAUGAAUUAGGAGACAUAUAGUUUACAUAAAUGUACAUAUCAGAGGCAGAUUUAGGGCGGGUUCAGUGGUUCGACUAAACCCAUUACUUUUGACUCAAACUAUAUAUGUACAUAUGCAAAAAGAUUCAGAAUAUGUGUGUGUGUUUCUAUAUAUAUAAAGAUGUUUAUAUUUUAUAACAUACAAAGAACAAUUGGGAAAUAAUGUCGUUUUUAACACAAGGUUUAUACAUAAUGUAAUUCAAAUUAAUUCGACUAUAUAAGCUGAUGAGUCGAUUGAGUUUUGACUAAAACUUGAUAAUUACCGUGUUUUUCACCUAAACUAACAAUUAAAACAAAGUAUACGCGCGCUAUCUUUGUCCUAUCUGAUAACAGAGGGAAACAUCUGUUGUACCUGAAUUGGACUUGUUUUUCCUUUCAAUAUUCUCAAGAAGCAAGCACAAGGUAGGAUCAAUGUCUGGAAUAAUAGAAAGAUCAUAUAUUAGUACAAAUCUAUAAAUACAAAAAACGGAAACAGAAAACCUAUUUAACAAAAAACAUAAACUGGUAGAAAAGGACUCACAACUAGCAUUGUAAAUAAUGAUCCAAUCAAUGCCAUCACAAAUCCUGCAGGUUAAAGUAAAAAAGUCUUUUAAGGCAAUGAAUGUUACAUAGGUAAGUUUAAUAUCACAGUUCUGUUGAUAUUUUUGGGAGCAAGAUCGCUCCUAAAGCGUUAAAGGGGAUUAAUAACACACUGUUCAAGUUAUAUUGAUAAUUAUAGCAGCUUACAACAACAACAAACCCAGCGUAAUCCCACAUGUAGGGUCUGGGGAGAGUUAGUAUGUAUGCAGACCUUACCGCCACCUUGAGAAAGUAGAGAGGUUGUUUCUGGUAGACCCUCGGCUCAGAAAAGAUACAAAGGCAAAAAUGAUAAAGAUAAUUAUAGCAACUUAACUUACCAAAAAAAGGAACUUUAAGCGCCACAAGUAAUGUGGAUAUCACAAGUGCAGUUCUAAUAAGGACUCCGUACAUGUGAGAUUUGGCGUGGUUCGAUGGUAUCAACUCCUCCAAACUCAUAGCAACAGGGGCCAUGGUUAAAGCAUAUGUGUUUCUAGUUAAGGAAGAUAUUCUACCUUUGCCAAAAUUAUCUUAAAAGGAAAUUUUCUAAAGUUCCCGCUAUGAGCGGGGUCCGGGGAAGGGCCGGACCACAAGGGUUUAUUGUACGCAACCUUACCCUGCAUUUCUGCAAGAGGCCGGCUCGAACCCAUGACCUCCUGGUCACAUGGAAACAACUUUACCAGUUACGCCAAGGCUCCCCUUCCCUUAUCCUCAGUUUGACGUCUUAUUUUAAUAACAUAUUUGAAGUAGUGCAAUGCAGUGAAAAGAAUAAAAUCAUGGAGUCCAGAAAAGGAUAUUUUGUGAAUGGAUUAACAAUCUGCAAAAGAAGCAGAAAAUUGUCAUCACAUGUUCAAGUAGUUGUAUCAAGGAGAGAACAUAAUCGAUCAGGUUUUACUUACGGUUGUCCAAAAAGCAAUUUUGGAGGCAACUAAAUUUGUGGGCAAGUUUAGAGUAAACUGGGAUUCAGCUGAGUCGCCAAACAUCAUGUAUCCCAUCACAGCUGCUCCAGCAUACAACACAGUCACAAUACCGAAACUGCAUCCAAAUUAUAUCCAUGUUAACAAAAAUAAGGAAACAAUAUGAUGCAAAAAAAUUCAACAAAUAUUAAAUUCCCAACGCAUAAUUUCAAAAAUACAAUGUGUUCAGGCUAAGAGUUUCAUCAUUUGAAACCGACAUGUUUGACUAUUGGGUCCACCUCGGAUUAUCUACACGAACAAAGUUUAACGUACAUGCAUUAGUUUCCGCAAAACUAAAUACCUGGUUAAGAGGACAGCAGGGAAUUGACUGCGUUUCUCCAAUGAUGUAUAUAUAUUGGGAAAAACUGCAUGUCCGGAGUAACAGUAUCCAUAAAGUCCGAUAGCAACAGGGAGACUAGAAACAUUCAGUACAGUAUGUUCGCUUUGAGAGCCAACAUGAUCCACUAAGCCAAGCCAGUACAAGCAAAUGACGACCAUUACAGAAGCAAUAACUCCUCCAGCUGAAAAUUAUACACAUCCAUUUCAGAAUUCUCAUUGUCCAACACUUGUUUUCUGUUUUUAGUUUUCAUUGUCCAACAGUCGAUACAGGAAAAUGCCAAAACUUUAGUAGUAUCAUAAGAGAAGCUCACAAGAACUAGACAAUUUUUUCAGUGUGUGUGUGAAGGGGAGCCUUGGGUAACUGGUAAAGUUGUUGCCGUGUGACCAGGAGGUCACGGGUUCAAGCCGUGGAAACAGCCUCUUGCAGAAAUGCACGGUAAGACUGCGUACAAUAGACCUUUGUGGUCCGGCCAUUCCCCGAACCUCGCGCAUAGUGGGAGCUUAGUGCACCGGGCUGCCCUUUUUUUUGUGUGUGCGCGCGCGCACGCAUAGAAAUGCUAUCAGCCACCACUUUUGGCUAUACAGAUAUGAAGCUCUUCUUAUAGGAAGUUAGCCACUUACCUGAGAUGCAACUAAGAACUGUGAGAUCGCGCAACCAAACGGUAGGAAGAACAGCUAAGGUGGUUAUCAAAGCAAAGAGAUGCCGUGCAUCUAAUUGAAACCCUCCCAAAUUUAAAUGUGCAUUUGGAAAUAAAGCCGACAGGUUAUCGCCCUCCAAAAUUAUGUAUUCAACACAACAGGACUGCAAGUGAAGGACAACAGUAAUGAAGCACAUAUCAGGAUGAGGCACACAUUUAGAAAUUAAAAGGACAAAGGAUGUUACGGACGACGUGCAGGCAACAUAAACUUACAUAUAAUUCCACGUAUAAUAUUAUCUGCAUCCACAAAUACAUAGAACAAGAAAGAAGCAGUAUCAGAAAUCGGUGAUGAUUGCAUACAUUUGCUUAAAGUGUUAAAUAUGUAGCUAGUCUAAGAUUAUCUACGUAUCAGGAAUCGUUGAUGAUUGGCCAAAAAGUUAAAAUAUGUUCCACAGCGAUUCCUCAGCAUUCUUUACCUACAAAAUUUAUCAUCUUUAUAUCUCUGUUAUCAAGCGUUGGUUGAAGUGCAAAGACAACUGAAAGCCAAAAGGACAUACCGAUAUGAUAAUUCUUCCCACUGUACCAAAGGCUGCCUGACCAAUAUCCGGAUAAGUCUCGAGCCCUGGUUGGCUGUCCAAGCAGUAUCUGAGGAGAAUGCCAGUAUAGUAAGAUAGCACACCGAAGAUGAAUAAUAUAGAAAGCCCUGCCCAUCCACCUUCCUUCACAGCAUAAGGAGUAGAAAGGAUUCCUACUCCACAUAGAACAUUAAUACCUGUAUGAAAAUUAAAAAAAGCAUUUGUAAAAACUAUGUUGCUCACCAACCGUUUGAUUGGAACAUAAAACUGUGUACAGAAUACUAACCAUUUAGCACGCCUUGGCCAUAGGAACUUUGACGGGAAACUGGAAAUUCAUGUGCAACCGAUUUCUCAUCAGGAAAUUUCUUAAUAGCAGACCUCCUUGACGGAAGAGGAGGCAACAAAGUAUGAGAGCUACGUCGCUCAUGUGGUGCUUGCUCGUCUCCUAUGAGAGGUUUAUGAAGAGAGGGUAACACUUCAGGAGUGUGUCUCCUUGUAAGUGAUGAGGCAAGGAACGAGCUGCCUAAACGUGUUAAUGAAGGUGUCCCCAGGAAAGUAAGACUUGGAGACGGUACACUACUAUAUAUAUCCAUAGAUUGCCUGAAACAAGUGUUUCGCAAAGAUUAGAGGUGGGAUAUAUAAGUAAGACAUUGCAAACUAGACAAAACUCAUUUGAGACAUGAAGCACUCGGGAGAAAAGCUUUGCAUCGUCAUCGGAGAUUACAGGGGCUAACAACAGCAAAUGAUCCAUCGGUUGUUAACCACAAAACAACACACAAAAGCACUUUUUACGCGCAUCAGGAAUCAUAUUGAAUAAUUUGUGGAGGAAAAUCUAACAUAGUGAAGAGAUUCGUUAUCUUCUUCUUUCAUAAUUCCCAUGUUAAUGCCAGUGAUAAGAACUACAUGAAGUUCCAGCGAAGCUAAAUUUCCCUCAACCUUUUCCUUCCCCAUUUCAACACCCUCUCCUUCUCGCAUUGAUGACUAAAUAUGUCGGUUUCUUAAUCUCAUUCAGGUUCACCAAGCAAUGCUGGCCAUUCAAUUUUUUUUUUGAGUUGGAAACUCUUUAAUUAAAAAUGCUCCUGAAGUAAGAUAAUAUUAUAAACUCAUAACCAGAAUGAUUAGAAGCAUAUGCUCAGCUCAUGUUUUUAUUCAAAAUUUGAAACCAGAAGACAAUACAACAACAACAACAAACCCAGCGGGAUCCCAUAAGUGGGGUCUGGGAAGGGUAAUGUGUACGCCUUACCCCUACACUGGGAAAGUACAGAGGUUGUUUCCAAUAGACCCUCGGCUCAAGAAUGAAACAAAAAAACAAUGAAUUAAACAAUUAUCAUUACAAGUAAACAUUCUCCUAUCAGAGCUGAAAGCGCAAAGCUGAAAACUACAUGUAAACAGGAAGAGGAGCAAAAGUGAAAUCUAACAAGUAAUCAUUCAAGAAAUGGAACUAUUGAUUGAACUCCAAUGAGCUAUGAAAACUUCAAAAGAUUCAUCUCCCAAUGCAGUUCAUAGUGGAAAAAUAAUCAAUCAAUGAACAGAGAAACCCAAUUUUGCUGCCAAACAACAGCAGCAGUUACUUUUCAACAAGUUGAGGUCGCUGUAUGAAUCCUCAUUGACCAUGCCACUCAAAUAAGACUAAUACCAUACAAAAUAAAAAAAUAAAAAAUACUAAAAGUUAAACCCCAAAUUGAUACACAUAUCUAUUCUAACUCAAUCUAUUGAAAGAGGCAAAGUGAAAAAAAUAUGAAUACCUGUAACUUUGAGGCCAAGCAGGAGGGUUGAAAGAACUCGGUUUGCUGUCCGGGAAAUCGUUUUCAUUGUUAUCAUCAUUAGAGUAAUUGGAAGAAUCAGAGUCAUUUCCAUCUUCAUUUUCAGGUUUAUCCAAUUGCUUCUCCUCCUGAUGAUCAUCGUCGUCGUCGCUCUCAAUGUAGAAACUAUGUUCAGAGACAGAAUUCUUCAUCUUAUGUCUCCUUUCAACCCCUCAAAAAACUCUGCAUACCACAAAUUCUCCUCAGAUUCCCAUUUAGAGUACAGAAUCAAACUUUAAAAUGGAAACCAAUGAAUCAACUGAAAAAUGGAAUCUUUCUAUAUAUAUUAUAUAUAUAAAAGCUUUUGGAUUCCCUUGACAUAAGGAAAGAUUCUAAUACAAUAAUGGUUCAAAAUUUGCUUAAGAUCACAUGUUCAAAUUCAAGGUGUAAGGCAUUUCAUGUUAGUCAUACACUUUAAAAUUUGUAAUGAAGAAAUUAACGGAUACCCCAUAAAAAGGAUAGGUCAAGAUUCAAAAAGCAAGAAUCUUUUUUAUUCACAAUAAAAAAUGCCUUGAAAUUUGGACCACAACGAAAAAAAACAUAUAAUAAGACGGAGAAAAAAAAAGAUAAAAUCUUUUCCUGAAAUCAUGGAGCAAAAUUAGUGGUUAUGUCAAAGAUCUUUGAAAAAAGUUCAACUUUCCAAAGACAAUUCCCUAUUAUUUAGACACCCAAUUGCAAAAAAAAAAGAAAAAAAAAAAAAAGAAAACACACACACACACGCACAAAUUUGCAGAUUCAAGAAUCAACAGUAAAUACAACUGAGACUUUUUCACUUUCUCCCUAUGUGGAGUAUGAUUUGAGGAAAUUUUAGAGUUUAUAAAGAGACAACCAGAAACCAAUAUCUAAUCAUAAAACCAUGAAAGGAUGAGGUGGAGCUUAAUCAAAGGUCUCGGUUCGAACCGUAUUGUGGAAAAAUAUUUGAUAGGAGGCUUGCUCCGAAUGGAGCGUUUCGCAGCGAUAAAGUUGGGCUCCAGCAUGGGUACCGCAACACGAGGGUGAGAAACCAAAAAAAUAUCUAAUCAUAAAGAACACAGUGCACAAAGUUACUAUAAUUAGAAAAGAAAAAAGUUUCUUACUUUAUAGUCCAAGAGGAAUUCUGAGAUAUGAAUGUCAAAAGAGUUGCUCAAAAGGUUCAAAAAUUCAGGAGGCUUUUCCACUGCAACUAACAAAAAGUUUCAGCAGCAGACACUCAGAUUUAUGUGAUAAGUAUUUAUUGAAAUUAUAGGGAGACAGAAGGAGUAAUAAAAGUAGGCUAAUAAUGUUGUGCUGUGCUAUGCUGAUGUUUGAAUUGUUAAAUUGUUGUUUUCUGAGUUUUUGAAUACUUAUAAUAAUAGUCCGUUUGGCCAAGCUUCUAAAUCAGCUUAUUUUGAGAAGUGUUUUUCUCAAAAGUACUUUUUAAAAAAGUGUAAGGAGCAGUUUGUGUUUGAUUAAUUAAUUUGAAAAGUACUUUUGAGCAGUAAUUAGUGUUUGACCAAACUUUUGAAAACUGCUUCUAAGUAUAUUUUUCUCAAAAGUGCUUCUCAGAAAAGUGCUUUUGGAGAGAAACUAUUUUUUUCUGCUCCUCCAAAACUGCUUCCGUUUCUCCUCAAAAGCACUUUUUUUCCUUCCAAAAAUUUGGCCAAACACCUCAAUUUUUGGCCAAAAAUACUUUUGGCCCCAAAAAAACUUGGCCAAACAAGCUAUAAGUAUGUUCAAAGAUGAUGACACAGAGUAUAGAUUGCACAUGACUAAUAAGUAUUGCGUCUUAUCUUUCAUGUUAUCAAGAAAACAAAGAGAAUUAAUUACGUGUUAAAAAUCCUAACCUAUAUUUAGUCGCGGAGCCAGAAUUUUUUUUGAGGGAAUUUAAUAUACAAUAAUUUAAAUACAUAAAAAAAAAGUUAAGAGAGUUCGAACAUCUACUAUUUAUAUACAAAAAAAGACCUUGUAUAUUAGGCGAAAGAGGUUUGGCCCUUGCUGCCCCCUAGCUCCACCCCUUGCUAGGUUGAUUUGUUUGUAUGCACGUAGGACAGAUGGGAAGAAAUCACUUGCAUCCAUUGGAAUUUGAAUCGAAGACCUCUAGGCGGCACCUUUAUUCUUGCCUAUAUUGAUUAUUUAUGUUUUAAAUAGGAAUUUAAGUUAUAUAUUUGUGCUAUUUAAUCAAUUGUAAAGGUUAUAAUAACAAUAAUAAACUCAAUGUAAUUUCACAAGGCGAGGAAUCACCUGUAAAGGUUAUUAUGCUAGCUAUAAUUCUAGUUCUCAUAUCAAAUUUUAUAUGAUAGUUAUUUGUUGUUGUUAAUUUAACCUGGCCGUGUAAAUUCUUCUACUUUAUGCGCACAUGACUAAAUUGAUGUCGGAGAAUAAGCUCUUCUCUUAUGAAAGAAUAUUCGUAUUUUUACAGUAUUGUAGCAGCUGAUCACGGUAAUGACUAAUGCCAAUACAAAUAUCUGUAGCUCGUAGCUAUUGAAGUAUAAACUAGGGGUGUUCGUCGGUCGGUACGGUACGGUAUUUAGAUAUGUCGGUUCGAUAUUUUCGGUAUUCAGUUUCUUAAAAUCCUAUACCAAUACCGUACGCACCUAAUUAAAUUCGGUAUGAUUCGGUUUUUCUCCUUUCGAUUUAUUCGGUUCGGUAACUUCGGUUUAUUCGGUUUGAAUACUAACUAGUGCAUAGAGCCAUACACUCUAAUAUUUUAAUUAAAGUACAAAAAUACAGAAUUAAAAAUAUUUGUUAACAAAACUUUUGUCCAAAACUAGCAAAUAUCGAUCCAAAUAGAAAAAAAGUACAUAAAAGAAUAUUUGAUCAUUAGAAAUGUCUUGUUACUUGUUUAGAGUUAAUUGAUGAACUUUGAGAAUAAAGGAAAGUAAAAUUUUAGAUUUUUUUAUAUUUAUAUUAUAAUUGAUAAUAUGUGUUUUGUGUAAUAUAAAAUAUAUUUCGGUAUGGUAUCGGUAUUUUGGUAUUUUAUUUUAAAAUACCAAAUACCAUACCUAAUAUCAAUUUUUUAAAAAACUUAAACCAAAUACCAUACCAAAAUACCGUAUACCAAAUAUUAAAAUUUUCGGUUUCGGUACGGUAAUUCGGUAUUUACCAAAUUAUGCCCAGCCCUAGUAUAAACCAUACACUAAGGGGUCGUUUGGUUUGAAUACGGCUUAUGCCCGGAUAAGUUAUGCUGUGAUAAGUUAUGCUGCGAUUAGUUAUCCUAGUAAUAUUUUUUACCCAAUGUUUGGUAUGUUGUAUUAAAAAUGACAAUUGCAUAAUUUCUAAUAAGAAGGUAUAAGUUAUCCCGAUACUAAUUUUAAUCCCGCGAUAACUUAUACCGGGUUUGUAACCAAACAAAGUAUUAAGGUGAUAUUAAUUUUUAUACCAGCACUAUAUCUACUUAUACCUCAUAGCAAACGACUCAUAGGGGUUCGUUUGGUACAAAGGAUAAGGGAUAAUUAAUCUUGGGAGUUAAAUUUAAGAUGAAUUUUAUCCUAUAUUUGGUUAGGAUAAAAUGGUAGUAUAACUAAUCUCGGAAUUGUAGUGUUUUUUAUCCUUAUAGGAGGGUGAAAUAACUAAUCUCAGGACACUAAUCCCGGGAUAAUUAAUCAUGAGAUAACUUAUUUCCCAACCAAACGAACCCUAAGGAGUCGUUUGGUACAAUAGUGAGAUAUCUCAGGAUAUCCCAUGGGUUGUGAUAUUCCAUGGAAUUAGUUAUCUCAUCUUUUAUAUAGGAUAACUAAUCUCACCAUUUUAGUGUAAAAGUUAUCUCAAAAUUAACUAAUACCCAAACAAAACAUGAGAUAAAGCGGGAUUAUUUUUCUUAUUUCAUAUACCAAACAACUCUAUGAAGACAAGUUUUACUUAGUACUCUCUUGUUUAUAUUUUAUGUGAUCAUACUCCAUUAUUUAACUGUGUAGAGAUAGUAUAAAUUAUUGGAUAGAUGGGUGGGGUUUUUUAUUUGAAAAAAUCUCAAGUGGCUAUCUAUUUUAACACAAGUUGAAUUAUUUAGUUAGAAGAGAAUGACAAUUAAUCCAAAAUAGUGAAUUUGCUAGCCUUUUAUUUUUGGAGAUUUAUAAAUUAAAUUGUAACAUGCAACUUUAAGCCGCAGUUUUGCCUCACUGUAACCAACAUGACAACCAAGUGCUAUAAUACUUACAUUUUUAAAAAGAUAUUAGGACAAAUUUGACUUAUCAACGGUGGGAAUAUAAUUAAGAUAAUUCUUCCUCUUUAAAACCUUAUAUAUCUAGUGGGAAAAAACAAAUUGUUAAUCUAUUGUCGGUUAUGAUUUCUAUUUUUUAUAUUUUAUUGUAGUAUUAUCAUUGAGUUCGCUGAGAGCAAAAAUGGCACCCUUUAAAAAAUAUGUUAGACUUAAUUAAAAAACUAGAAAUAUGUUUUCAUUAACAGUAGCAUUAAACAACUUAAUUUUAGAUUAUGAGGGUCCCACAAUUUAAUUUUCAGUGUAAAUUUACACAUAGAAUUCUUAAAUUUAUCGACAAACAUAUUAGAAUUUUAAAAACUACGUAGCAGAAGUACUAUAGACUUAUAGUUAAAAAAUUCAAAAUAUUUUAAAAACAUUGUAAAAAAAAUAUUUUUGAUUUUUUUAAUAAUAAUAGUAUCACAUAAAAUAAAAUCAAAAUGGUAUAAAAUUUUGUUCAAUAUUCAGAAAAGGAAAAUAAUUUGGGAGGUGACAAAACUAUAUGACAAUCGCAGAGAUCAGAAAUAUAGUGCAAAACAUAUGGACAACUUGUUUAAAAUGGGGCCCAUGAUGACUUGGACAAGCUGCAUUAGUCCAAAUCAAACACAGUCGUCCUCAUACCCUAUGUCCCAACAUGUGGGGUAUAUAUAUAUAUAUAAAGUAUUCUCAAUAUUUUUCCGAAGCUCGAAUAAUUUAGAUUCGUGCCAAAAAAUUAUAUUUUGGGAAAAAAAUGUGUUCUAAUAAAGGCCUCUGGAAUCCAAGUCUUUGGAUUAAAGAUUAAGGGACAUUUACUAUCCACUAUAACCUUUGGUGGUCUAACAUGUACGGAUAUAUUUACACUAAAAUUUAAGUUUUGUGCAUAAAAUUUUACAUUAAUUUUACUAUCAAAUUAAAUCGAUAUGCAACAAUAUUUAACUUUUCACAAUAAGUAUAUAUGGCGAUAUAAAAGAUAGAGCAAUAACUUGUUAUCAGAGGCUGAGCUACGUUGAAAUAAGGGGUUUAACUGAAUUUUAUUUGCCACAAAAUUAUACUGUGCAAAUAAGGCAAAAAAUGAACCCAUCUGCUAUAUAUGAAUUAUUGAAUUCCCUUAAAAUGAGGGAAAAAAAUUCUAGUGUACGACUCAAAAAUUACUUUAGAUCACAUAUUCAAAUCACAGUUGUGACAUUUUAAUUUUUUUGUUAAAUCCCCUUGGUAUCAAUUUCUAACUCCACUUAUAUCACGUUAAAUUACUAUAAUAUUAUAAUCUUUUUUACUUUGUCGAUAUAAAAAAAAACUAUUGAUGAAACUGUAAAUAAAUUAUUAUUCGUGUUGAUAUAAUCGUGUAUAAUUUAAUAAUGCAAUGUCAUGUUACCUGUCACGGCAGACGACUUUGACCUAUCAUCUAAGUUUGAGAUCUGGGAAUAUUUUAAUGAACAACUCACGAAAAAAAAAUCAGAGCAUUAUUAUUAAUUAAUUAAUUUUUUGACCAUUUUUUACACAUACUAAAGAAUUCAUUUUAAUCAUUAAUUAAUAAUAAAAUUGGUCAUAUUAAUCUAAAUUUAUUUAUUGAAAAUAUAAUAAAUACUCCAAGACUCUUUACUCCAAGGGUAACUUUGGAAAAAAGAAGUUAUUCCUUCUUGAUAUCUGAAAAAUUAAAUAUUGUGGACCAUAAAAAAGGCCAAAAAAUUAAUUAAAGUUGAUCAAAAGAGAUUAUUAUUAUUUAAAUGUUUCGCAAAUUGUUGGUCUAUUUCAGCAGAUCUUCGAAUCCCAAAUGUCAGAAAUUGGAAAUUUGAAUGAUUAAUUUUCUUUAUCGACUCUCCGCAUCCACGUACAAAUGGACAAUUAUUAUCGUUUGAUGUCUAGAUUCAUCUUAUUGUCGUGUAGAAAAAGAAGUAGUACUACCGAAAUUUAGUUGUUCUCAUUUAUUGUACUCCACGUUGUAUCCUGUCCAAAUUCAUUACUCAUCCCUUUGUAAGAUCAAACAUAAAAAUCAACUAGAUCUUGACCCUAUAAUAAAAUUAAAAGAAAAACGACAAAUUUAUUCUGUUAUUGGAUCUUAGCCUCUUAGGGAUUACUAUGGGUAGGUGGAACAAGUUCUUUGUCACAUCACAAGUCCUGUUUUAUCAUGUUUGUUUCUAAAAUUUGAAACUCUCCAAUAUUAUCUUUUUGAACUCUCAUCUAAAGAUAUGAAUAACUUCACUAUGAUACAAUAUUUUUUUCCUAUUACAUAGGAGAAUUAGACGAGAAAAAUGAAGGUAAAUUUAAAAUAGUGAGAAUUCAUAGGGCGCGUGAACUCAUGUUCCUUUCCCUAGAUCAAUAAUAAUAAUAAUAAUAUGCCCAGUAUAUUCACAGUGCGGGAUCUGAAAAAAAUAAUGUGUAUGCCGACCUUACCAUUAACACACAGAGAUAAAUAAGGUAUCUCUGAUGGACCCUUAUGUCACGUCCUUAGUUGUUAACUAAGUAUACGUGUGACACUUGACAAUUCGCUCACGAUCUUGCACAACUUGCUCACGUUCUUGCUAUGCCAAGUCAGUCUUACUACCUUCAAGAUCGCUAAGAGAAUGGAAGAAAGAAAACAAGAGAAUUGUUUAAGGAAGCUUUGUAUUAGAGAGAACUUGAAUUGUUUGCUCCAUGAAUUACAAAUGAAUGACCCAUUUUAUAUACUAGUCUCCUAGGGGCUAGUGUGUAAAUAUUAAUUAUUAUACAAGUCCUUGAUAUUUACAAGAUAAGGGCUUUCUCUAGAAUUCUCUACAAGCCUAGAAGAUUCCAAGGACUUUCUUAGCAAAUCCAUAACAAUCUAGGUUCUUCCUAAGGAAAUGUCCAUACCUCUCUAGAAUCUUCUCACAAAUGCUAGACUUCUUCUUAUGUAAGCUUCCACAUGACAUUAAUAUAUGCCAAAUGGCGCCUAUGUGGCAUGAUGAUAUAGCGGGUCAUCACACUCUCCCCCACCCAAUAUUGCGACAACCGCGGCACAAUGCUGCUGCAUAAACUCUCGGAUCUUAUCUUUGAAUUGCCACAAGUCUUCAUAUCGUUCCCACGUGGCCUCCUCCGGUGAUUGCCCUUUCUAAUGGACGAGGAACAUAGCAGUGGCUUUUUGCCCUUGUUUUUGCCUGGCCUGGUAAUCUAUAAUAGCCUCAAUCUCCCGAUCAUGCGAGGCGGUGAUAAUCAUUGGCGCUCGACUUGAUAGGCCCCUACUCGGAUCAUCCUUAUCUUCAUGAUAUGGCUUAAGCAAGCUGGCAUGAAGACAGGGUAGAUCUUAAGAUACGAUGGCAUGUCAAGCUUGUAUGAGAUCUUGCCUACCUUGGCGACGAUCUUAAAUGGCCCCUCGUACUUGCGAAUCAGAUUUUGAUGCAUGCCCCGUAAUGCCUUGAACUGUCUUGGGUUGAACUUCACCAUGAUCAUAUCCCCAACUCUAUAGUCUGUGGGACGUCGUUUACGGUCCGCAAACUUCUUCAUCUUCUUAGCUGCCUUAUCCAAGUAGGACUUAGCAAUGUCGAGCUGUUUCUCCCAUCCUUUGGCUAUAUGAUAAGCCCUCAAACUCUUUCCCCCGAAUGCGGCUGGUAAGGAAUGUGGAGUUUGUGGUUGUUGGCCUGUGGCUAGCUCAAAUGGUGUUCGUCCCGUGGACUCACUCCGCUGCAAGUUAUAAGAGAAUUGGGCGAUGUCUAGGAGCCUUGCCCAAUCUUUCUGAUGCGCACUUACAUAAUGCCUCAAGUAGCAUUCUAGUAAGGCAUUGACUCAUUCUGUUUGUCCAUCCGUCUGUGGGUGGAAACUAGUAGAAAAGUGUAGCUCCGUACCAAGUAUAUCAAACAACUCUCUCCAAAAGUUUCCAGUAAAGCGAGGGUCUCAAUCACUGAUUAUAUGCCUUGGUAAGCCCCAAUACUUUACCACGUUCUUAAAGAAUAGCUUGGCGGCUUCCUUGGCUGUGUAACCUGGUAAGGCGGGCAUGAAGGUGGAAUAUUUGGAAAAUCUAUCCACGACCACCAUAAUAGUACCAUAACCGUCGGACCUUGGUAGGCAAGUGAUAAAGUCCAUAGUCGCGCUCUCCCAUGGACGCUCUGCAACUGGUAGUGGCUCCAAAAGUCCUACGGGCUGUUGUUGCUCAACCUUGUCCUACUGAUAUACAAGACAAGUCUGCAUAUAACAUUCUAUAUCAUCUCGCAUGCGUGGCCAAUAGUAGACUAACUCAACCAAGGCCCUGGUGUUGGCCUGGAUGACCAGCCCGCAUUGUAUCAUGACUCUCCCUUAUGAUCCGCCGUCUAAUGUCUCCAAACUUAGGCACAUAGACCCGCCGACCCGUGGUAAGCAAUAUGUCGUCUUCUACCCAAAAACGUCUCGUCUUGCCCUGGUUGGCUAACUCAAUAAGUUGUUUGGCUGCUGGAUCAUGUUGCAUGCCUUCUUCUAUAGCCUCUCGAAUAUCCCAUCUCGCUGAAGUGAUUGCAGCAAGCUCGGCUUUCUGGCUCAAGGCAUCGGCUACAAUGUUACCUUUGCUAGGCUUAUACUCCAGCGCAUAAUCAAACUCGGCCAAGAAAUCCUGCCACCUAGCUUGCUUUGGUGUGAGCUUCUUCUGUGUCUGAAAGUAGCUAGUAGCCACAUUAUCAGUCUUGACCACGAACCUCGACCCGAGCAGAUAAUGUCUCCAUGUAUGAAGGCAAUGCACAAUGGCAGUCAUUUCCUUCUCUUGUACCGUGUAAUGCCGCCCCGUCUCAUUUAACUUGCGGCUCUCAAAUGCUAUGGGAUGCUUAUCCUGCAUCAGGACAUCCCAAUGGCAAAGUCUGAAGCAUCUGUGUGCACCUCAAAGUCUUGGCAAAGUCAGGUAAUGCCAAGACUGGCUCCUCUAUUACAGCUGCCUUAAGGCCUUCAAACGCCUUUUGACAAUGCUCCGUCCAAACCCAUGGCUUGUUCUUCUUUAGCAACUCAGUCAAUGGUGCGGCCUUUGCUGAGUAUCUACUGAUGAACCGAUGAUAGUAAUUAACAAGGCCAAGGAAGGAUCUCAACUCAGUUAAGUUUAUAGGUGCCUCCCACUCCUGGAUAACACGUACCUUAUCCUCAUCCAUGCAUAGCUCGCCAUUGCUAAUGACAUGGCCUAAGAAGUGCACCUUUGAUUGUGCAAACUCGCACUUCUCUCUCUUGAUGUAUAGCUCGUUUUCCCGCAAGACUUGGAAAACCUUCCUUAAGUGCUCCAUGUGUUCCUCCAAGGUGUUGUUGUAUAUGACUAUGUCAUCUAGGUAGACUACCACGAACUGAUCAAGGUAGGGAUGAAAAAUCUUGUUCAUAAGGGUGCAAAAUAUGGCCGGUGCAUUGGUUAAGCCGAAGGGCAUCACCAACCACUCAAAGUCUUUAUAUCUCGUCACACAUGCUGUCUUUGGCUCAUUCCCUUCCGCAAUGUGAACCGGGUAGUAGCCCUUUCGAAGAUCUACCUUGGUAAAGUACUUGGCUUGCCCAACUCUAUCAAACAAGUCAACAAUGAGCGGGAUUGGGUACUUAUUCUUCACGGUGACCUUAUUAAGUGAUCGGUAGUCUAUGCACAAACGCAACGAUCCAUCCUUCUUCUUCUGGAGCAAUACUGGUGCGCCAAAAGGUGCCUUUGAUGGGCGAAUGUGACCAGCAUUUAGCAGCUCCUUCAAUUGUUUCCUGAGCUCCUCUAGCUCAGGAGGUGCCAUACGAUAUGUGGCAAAUGUGGGUGGCUUAGCCCCUGGCUCCAACUCAAUCUUGUGAUCCACCUCUCGCUUGGGCGGCAAGUGCUUAGGCAACUCCUCGGGCAUGACAUCUUUGUUUUCCUUAAAGCAACUUCUCUAUGCAAGGCGACACUGUCUCUUGAAAUUUUUUGUCUUGCUCUAGAAUUGCAAUGGUUGCCACGAACGUUGGCUCCCCCUUAUUAAUCCCCUUGACAACCUGCAUAGCUGAGAGUUGUGCUUGGAUCUGUCCGUGUGGCAUAGUCACUGUAGGUACCAUGCAAGCUCCUUGUCGCUCCAUAACUAAGAGACGUUGGAGGUAGGGGUCGAUUAAAGUAUGACAAUGUCUAAAGAACUCUUGCCCCAGUAUGAUGUCAAAGAUAUCCAUUGCGGUUACAAUAAAGUUUGUCAUACAUUUACAAGUUCCCAAUUUGACACCAACUCCAUAAGCCACCCCAUGAGCAUUUUGUAUCUCGGCAUUCACGGUCUUGGUGCGAGAGUUGGUUGAAGCAAGCUUCAAUUCUAGUCUCUUUGCGGCAGCCUCAGUCAUGAAAUUAUGAGUUGCUCUAGUAUCCACCAUUGCACGAGCGAGCUUGUUGUUGAUGGUGAGAUCCACGUACUGAUUGCCAUUCUCGGUAGGUUGGAUAGCUUGCUUUGUGACAGCACCACAUAAUCCGAUCAUACCCAACUGGGCAGUUCCCGGACUCUCUCCUUGUGGUUGCUCCUUUCGCUCACGUACCAUGGCACUUAGGCUCUUGAGGUCAGGAUAAUUCCUGAAGCCAUGUGGCCCUCUGCAUAUAGAGCAUCCUUUCUUCUCGACCUGCGCCUUCUUCUCGGCAUAGCCCUGACGACCACUGGACUUUUUGAAAUCUUGAGUCUUGGAGUAUUGUUGUUGUAUCUCCUUGACUUUGCCACGGUCUCCUCCACCUUUGGCAUUGUUAACCUUUGACUCCUUGACACUGCCUUUGUCGUGCUUGUCAUGCCUGAAAUCCUUUAAUGAUUCAGCCUCCACUAUGGAUUGGUCUAUAUCAGUGACUUGUCGGCGUUGCAACUCCUGCUUAGCCUAAUUUUGCAACCUGUCCAUGAAAUGGAACAACAAGUCAUCAUUGGUCAGGUUGGGGAUUUGAAGCAUAAGGGUAGUGAACUCCUUGACAUAGUUACGUAUGCUCCCUAUUUGAUUCAAUUCUCUAAGUUGCGCCUUGCCUCGUACGAGACAUUGUUUGGAAAGAACUGUCGAUUGAACUCCGCUUUGAACCGAUCCUAUGUGCUAAUAGUACAUAGACCUUUAUCCACAUUGACCAUCUUCCUUCUCCACCAUAGCAUGGCAGUCUCUGAGAGUACAAUACCAAAGUGUUGAUCUUGGCCUCGUCGUCCCUCACUUUGCCGUGCUUGAAGUAGUUCUCCAAGUGCCAAAGGAAAUUUUCCACUUCUUGUGCAUCACAAACACCUUUAAACAUCAGGGGUUUGGGAGCCUCGAUCUUGGCCUCCCUCAUUACCACAACAUUGCUGGCUAUCUCGGUCACACCAGUAUUGACAUGCUCCUCGAGUGACUCUAUCUUUGCCUUCAUAACAUCGAUAGUACUCAAAGCCUCCAUGAGUCUGCACUCUAAGGCAGUGAUGGUUUACCUUAGUUCCAUCUCAGUCUGUUUACAUCCCUCCAAGUCAUUUCGAAUACUCUCAAUCUCUUCAAGAGUGUGCCCCUCAAGAACGUUAAGGGUGCCCUCCACCUUCCCCAAGCAUUGGCCAAAGAUCUCCACGACGUCCAUCCUCGCGUUCAUCUUCAUCACCCACUCUUUACCGAGCGAAACGUCCUUUGGAAGGACCUCCACUUCAUCCUCGCUCAGCUUAGUGACAGAUGGUUCUUGGGAUGUAAGCUCUUCGUUCGACACAACCUCAAGUGGCACCUCUUGGCUCCUGUUGGUGGCACUUCUCUUUUUGCUACGACCGCUCUUGCCAGCAACAUCUUGGAUGACGUUGGCUUGGGUGUUGACAGCGUUAAUUUCUCUGCCGUUCGCAUUCCCUUAGUUGAAACUUUCGCUCUGAUACCACGUUGUCACGUCUUUAGUUGUUAACUAAGUACACGUGCGACACUUGAUAACUCGCUCACGAUCUUGCACAACUUGCUCAUGUUCUUGCUAUGCCAAGUCAGCCUUACUACCUUCAAGAUCGCUAAGAAAAUGGAAGAAAGAACACAAGAGAAUUGUUUAAGGAAGCUUUGUAUUAGAGAGAACUUGAAUUAUUUGCUCCAUGAAUUAUAAAUGAAUGGACCCCUUUAUAUACUAGUCUUCUAGGGGCUAGUAUGUAAAUAUUAAUUAUUAUACAAGUCCUUGAUAUUUACAAGAUAAGGGCUUUCUCUAAAAUUCUCUACAAGCCUAGAAGAUUCCAAGAACUUUCUUAGCAAAUCCAUAAUGAUCUAGGUUCUUCCUAAGGAAAUGUCCAUACCUCUCUAGAAUCUUCUCACAAAUGCUAGACUUCUUCUUAUGUAAGCUUCCACAGGGCAUUAAUAUAUGCCAAAUGGUGCCUAUGUGGCAUGAUGACAUGGCGGGUCAUCACACUUAGCUCAAAUUCGCUAGUAUCUUGCUCCUCCAUAGCUAUAUCUGAUGAAAUUGUAAAUGAAAGACGUGAAUUGUAGAAAAAUUCUUUCUUUUGAUGAUCUUUCUCAAUGAUUUGUACAAGUAUAUAUACAGUAAAAAUAAAGAAAAGAAUAUUCCUAUGUAUUCCUAUUUGUCCACAUGUCUAAUUUUUACUUGUUAUUGUAUAACAAACUAACUACCUAUGAAGAUAAAUACAAGAAUAAUAUUUACAACUUAAAUUAUUCUAAGUCCCCACGUGUACAAUUUGUUUAUCUAGACUCUUCAUAGGUUCUGCCACAUGGGCGCUCAUAAUUUAAUACAUCAAGUCAAUAAUGAAAGGUGGUGAUUAAUUUAGUCCACAAGAUAUACUUUUUCCUUGUAAAGUCCGAAAACACUUAGCUUCCUUGUCUGAAACGUGAGCUUUGCUUUCUCUGUUCUUCAUCUUCAUUUUAUUAUCUUCUGCAUUUAUGUUUCUCUGAAAAUCACCACCAUUCUUCACCAAAUUAGAAAACCUUACACCAACAUCCCCCUCAAGUUGGAGGGUGGAGGAACAACCCCCAACUUGCCCAAAGCAGAUCGAUGGUUAGGUCCAGAAAGGGGUUUUGUGAAUACAUCCGCAAUUUGAACAAUUAAAGGAACAAAAGACAAAGAGAUGAGCCUUGAACCUUUCAACUGAACCAUCCUGCUUGUAUUUUACCUUAUAGACCCAUUUACAUGCUAAGGCUUUCUUGUCUUUAGGCAGUUCCACACCCUCCCAAGUUGUUAGAUUCCAAAGCUACAAAUUCUUUUUUACUUUGCUUCUUGCCAGCAUGGGUUUAAGGAAGCUUGAGAAUAUGUGGUAGGUUCAGAAACAUAGGAAAUUCCAUUUAAAAGAGACUGAUUAGAAGGAGUUAGAGCAGAAAAUGGCAACACAGUAGGAGACACAGGUUAAGAAAAACAAUUUGGAGUGAGGUCAGUCAAGAAAACUGUAUUACAAACAUUAUCAGACAAAUAAUUUGGAAGAUGAUGUUCUCUAGUUGAUCUUGUAAGUACGGGUUCUGAAGUAAGAGGGGGAAAACUAAAGGGAUAGGUGUAGGAACCUGUUAUAAAUGUCCUAAGGAAGGAUGAGAUGUAGAGGCCACUGGUGAUAUGGGUGUCUUAGAUUUAGAAGGGGUGUGUAGAGGGAAACCUGAAGAGUACUGGGGUGUCCUGGAGAGUGUUGGAGUAUCAGGAGGAUAAGAGUUUUGAAUGGUAGAAGGUAAGGAAGUUGGAAGUGUAUGAAGAUUCACUGGAUGUGCAGGUACAUGUGCCAAGGUUUUAGUAGGGAAAAUGUGAAUUGGAGAACUAGUAGAAGAAAAAGGGAAUACAAUCUCAUGAAACACCACAUCUCUGGAAACAAAAAUUUUCUUAGUUUCCAAGUUGAGCAAUUUAUAGCCCUUUUCCCCAAAAGGAUACCCCAAAAAUAUGCACUUGAUAGCCCUAGGAUCCAACUUGGAUCUAUGUACUAGCAGGGUAGAAGCAUAACAGAGGCAUUCAAAACUUUUUAGAUAGUCAUAAGAGGGAGGUUUUCCAUAGAGUACUUCAUAGGGAGUUUUCAUUCUCAGUAUCUUAGAAGGGAACCUAUUUAUUAAAAAAAUGGCCGUUAACAAGAAUUCUUCCCAAAAUUGAACUGGUAAAUUUGACUGGUAAAGAAGAGCUCUACAUAUUUCAAGUAUGUGCCUAUGUUUUCUCUCAACAACACCAUUUUGUUGGUGAGAGGAGACACAACUAGUUUGAUAUACAAUACCCUGUGAAGAAAGAAACUGUGAGGUUUGGUGACUGUUUCCAAGUUCUAAAGCAUUAUCAGAUCUGAUGACUUUUAUUUUGGAUUGAAACUAUCUUUCUAUCAUGCUAAUAAACUGUUUAAGAAUUGUGAAAGCAUUGGACUUAGUACUAAGAAGAAAAGUCCAAGUCCCUCUGUUAUAAUCAUCUACUAUGGUCAAAAAAUACAUGAACCCAUCAUGAGUCUGUGUUUAUAAGACCCCCAAGUAUCCACAUGAAUUAGAUCAAAGAUUUUCUUAGAAGAAAUGGAAAUAGUGGGAAAAGGGUAAUUUAGUUUGUCUAGCUUUAGCACAAACAUCACAAGGCAAAAUAUCAGGAGAACUAUUAGAACAAGAGAUAGAAGGAAUAUUUCUCCUAUUAGAAAAUGGGAUAUGAUCCAAUCUGUUGUGCCAAAGGCUUACAUCAGUAAUAACAUCUCCUAAAAAUAAACUAGAAUUUGAAAAUUGAUUGCUAACAAUAUUCUUGGAAAGAGAACUAUUAGUGACCCUAUUACUACGAUUAACUUCACCUCUAGGCUUGACUUGACUUGAGGUGGUCUGAUUGUAUGCAACAGAUAUAAUCCCUGAUUUAGCUUACCAAGCACCUGUGAUGACCUUUUAGGUCAUCACUUGUUUUAGAAAUGAUUCUGCAUUCUAGGGUCUUAAAAACCUCUUUCAAUAUCACCUCGAUUUGCGUGCGCAGUCCGGGCACGUAGCUGAAAAGCCAUUAUGUGAAAAAUGUUGAAUUUUGACUUUAAAAUGAAUUAAUUUGACUUCGGUCAAUAUUUUGGGUAAACGGACGCGGACCCGUAAUUUGACGGUCCCGAAGGGUCCGUAGGAAAAUAUGGGAUUGGGCGUAUGCCCGGAAUCGAAUUUCGAGGUCCCAAGCCUGAGAAAUGAAUUUUUAAAGAAAAUUAUUUUCUGAAAUUAUUUAUGAGUUUUGGAAAUGAAAAGUGUUUAAAACUUGAUGGUAUUGAGACCGUAUUUUAGUUCCGACGCCCGGUACAGGUCUUAUAUGUGAUUUAAGAUAAGUUUGUGAGGUUUGAUAAGAAACGGACUUGAAACGACGUGAAUCAGAUCGUUUUUGAAAAAAGUGGAAAAUUUGAAGUUCUUAAGAAAUUUCAUGACUUUGAUGCUAAAUUCAUAGUUGUUAAUGUUAUUUUAGUGAUUUGAAUGCACAAGCGAGUCUGUAUAAUGUUUUUAGUUUGGUGUGCAUGUUUUGUUUGGAGCCCCGAGGGCUCGGGUGAGUUUUGAAUAGGCCACAGAUUAAAAUUUUAACUUAGGGAAUUGCUGGUAUGCUACAGGCUUGCAGGCUUCGCAUUCUCGCAAAUGCGAGCUCGCAAAUGCGAGAUGUGGUCUGGCUGCCUUCUUCGCAAAUGCGAAGUGACUGUCGCAAAUGCGACAACUGCCUGGAAUCCCCCUUGGUCGCAAAUGCGAGACUUCAGUCGCAAAUGCGACAUUGCAUUCGCAAAUGCGAACUUAGCAGAAGUCCGGGUUCGCAAUUGCGAACCCUGGUCGCAAUUCCCAUAUCUGCAACCUGCAAUUUUAUAAUUUAGCCAAAAAUCUUUAUUUUUCACGCUCUUUCAAAACCAAAACACUCUUGGGCGAUUUUUCAAAGACAACUCUUCUUCUAANNNNNNNNNNNNNNNNNNNNNNNNNNNNNNNNNNNNNNNNNNNNNNNNNNNNNNNNNNNNNNNNNNNNNNNNNNNNNNNNNNNNNNNNNNNNNNNNNNNNNNNNNNNNNNNNNNNNNNNNNNNNNNNNNNNNNNNNNNNNNNNNNNNNNNNNNNNNNNNNNNNNNNNNNNNNNNNNNNNNNNNNNNNNNNNNNNNNNNNNNNNNNNNNNNNNNNNNNNNNNNNNNNNNNNNNNNNNNNNNNNNNNNNNNNNNNNNNNNNNNNNNNNNNNNNNNNNNNNNNNNNNNNNNNNNNNNNNNNNNNNNNNNNNNNNNNNNNNNNNNNNNNNNNNNNNNNNNNNNNNNNNNNNNNNNNNNNNNNNNNNNNNNNNNNNNNNNNNNNNNNNNNNNNNNNNNNNNNNNNNNNNNNNNNNNNNNNNNNNNNNNNNNNNNNNNNNNNNNNNNNNNNNNNNNNNNNNNNNNNNNNNNNNNNNNNNNNNNNNNNNNNNNNNNNNNNNNNNNNNNNNNNNNNNNNNNNNNNNNNNNNNNNNNNNNNNNNNNNNNNNNNNNNNNNNNNNNNNNNNNNNNNNNNNNNNNNNNNNNNNNNNNNNNNNNNNNNNNNNNNNNNNNNNNNNNNNNNNNNNNNNNNNNNNNNNNNNNNNNNNNNNNNNNNNNNNNNNNNNNNNNNNNNNNNNNNNNNNNNNNNNNNNNNNNNNNNNNNNNNNNNNNNNNNNNNNNNNNNNNNNNNNNNNNNNNNNNNNNNNNNNNNNNNNNNNNNNNNNNNNNNNNNNNNNNNNNNNNNNNNNNNNNNNNNNNNNNNNNNNNNNNNNNNNNNNNNNNNNNNNNNNNNNNNNNNNNNNNNNNNNNNNNNNNNNNNNNNNNNNNNNNNNNNNNNNNNNNNNNNNNNNNNNNNNNNNNNNNNNNNNNNNNNNNNNNNNNNNNNNNNNNNNNNNNNNNNNNNNNNNNNNNNNNNNNNNNNNNNNNNNNNNNNNNNNNNNNNNNNNNNNNNNNNNNNNNNNNNNNNNNNNAAAUGGAUGCGAGUUGCAUGCCAACGAGAUAUGUGAAAUGAGAGCGGGUUGUACGCCUGCAACGAGAUAUAUGAAAUGGGAGUGGGUUGCACGCCUGCAACGAGAUAUGUGAAAUGGGAUCGGGUUGCAUGCCUGCAACGAGAUAUAUGAAAUGGGAUCGGGUUGCACGCCUGCAACGAGAUACAUGAAAUGGGAUCGAGUUGCACUCCUGCAACGAGAUGUGAAAUGAAGGUGAACUCUGCAUUUGUUUUCCCUAUCCAUGUUAGUAAUUGGAUUUUGGUUUCUUUAUAUUCUCUUGAUAUUCUGUUGUUAUAUAUUAUUCCCCGAAGCAUGUUUUCCCUGCCCAAUUUUAAUUGCAAUUAUCUGCUUUUAUUUCUGUUGUUUAUGAUAUAACUGCACAGGUUUAUUUGGUAGUCUGGUCCUAGCCUCGUCACAUCCUAUCUUUCCUUUAUCCUGUUUCCUUUACUCAUUUCAGAAACAGUGUGUAUUUUAUCUUUCAGACUUUGUAUGUAGUAUUCUUAGACCGUCUGUGAAGCUGUGACACCAAAUUCUGGGUAGAGUUGUAUUUAGACUUCCGCAACUUGUAUUAAGAUUAAUUAUCAAAUUUUAUCUCCCGCUUAAUUAUUUUCGCUAUUGACAUGAUAUCUACUCAUCACUGAUAAAGGUUUAAAACUGGAAAAGGUUAAGUAAUUAGAAUAAUUUGGCUUGCCUAGCUUUCAUCAGUAGGCGCCAUCACAGCUCUCGAGAGUGGAAAAUCCGGGUCGUGAUAACACCACUGGCCUCUUCAUUGAAGGGGUAUUGCAAAGUAGCACCAAGAGAGGUAAAUGCCAGGAUAGAAUUGAAUUGUUUGCAUAACUUGUGAACAGAUAAUAGAUUGAAUUUGAAAGUUGGAACAAAUAAGACAUGUGUAAGUGUGAAACCAGGCAUGAUGGUCACACAUCCUGAUUGUCUGACCAAAACUCUAGGAGAAUUAGGGAGAGUAAGUGAGUAACAAACAAGGGUCUAGGAAGAUCUGUAACAUUAAACAAAAGGCUCAGAUCUGAGAUCAUGUGUUUUGUAGCUCCUGAGUCUAAAAUUCAAGAAACAGAGUUUAAAGAUAGAAGAAAUGAAGUAGAAUGAGAAUAGACACAGGUAUACCAGCGCAAUUCGCAGCUGCAAUGUCCUCAAAAACUUGCUCCCCCUGUGUGCCAAUUUUGACAUGCUGAAGUAGCUGAUAGAGACUGUGAAAUUGAUCCUGGGUCAUAGUCUUAUCUACUCUAUUCACUCCCCGUCCUCCAUUGUCAUCAGUGCUAAUUACAUCAUUUCUCUUGGCUCCAAGUGCAAUUUUUUUGUUCUUAGUAAAUUUAAAAUCAGUUGGAAACCCAAUAAGCUUGUAGCAAUUUUCGACUGUGUGAUUCAAUUUCUUACAGUAAGAACAAAACUGAGCAUUCUUCCUUCCAUCUCCAUAUCCCUGAGUGUUUUUCUUUGGAUUUGCAUAUCCCUUUUACCAGAAAUGAAUUUUUGACCAAAAUAUUGCUGUUUUGCAGCUAAGAAAGCAACUUCUCCGGGUGUUGUGAGAUCUGAACCUCUCUAUGCUUUUCAUCCCUGAUGAGAAGAGAGUAAGCAUGGUUCACAGAGGGUAGAGGUGAAAGCAUCAACAAACUACUCCUUGGUCCAGAAUAUGAGUCAUUCAGUUUCAUAAGGAACUGGAUAAGCCGUCAUCUUGUUGAGAUUUGAAGGUGUUGGCCUUGUCACCACAAUGGCAGUCACAAGUACAGUGUUGACAUGUAUCUAAGUUGUCAAGAUUAUCCCAGAGCCUCUUCAGCUUAGUAUAGUACCCUGCAAUGUCCAAGUUCCCUUGAGCUAGCUCACUGAUUUGUUUUUGUAGGUGAUAGACCUGAGGACCAUUGCUUUGGCCAAACCUUUCCUCAAGCUCAUUCCAGAUCUGCUGAGAAAUCUUAGAGUAGAGUACACUCUCUGCUAUCUCUUUGGAGAGUGCAUCCAACAACCAAGAUAUCACCAUGUCGUUGCAGCGAGCCCAUGAUUUGAAGGAAUCAGAGGAAGUUUUAGGUUGAGAAAUGGAGCCAUCAAUGAAGCCAACUUUAUUUUUGGCUAAUAAAGCAAUAAGUAUCUCUCUGCGCCAGCCUCCAUACCCUUUUCCAUCGAAAACAGUGUUCACAAGCAGCAUUCCUAGUGAAUCUGAGGGAUGGAGAUAAAAGGAAUGACUGGGGUCAAUAGCAGUUUUUCCAGCAUCAGUCCCAGCAAGAUCUGUGACUUGGGCUAUGCUUGAAGAAGAAAUAGAUUUGUCAUCCAUUGAAAAGGAAAUAUAAAGGUCUCAAAAAAAUGAAGAAGAGGAAAGCAAGAGCUAAAAGAGUCGUGCUCUAAAGCUCUGAUACCAUGAUGAAAUUGUAAACGGAAGACGUGAAUUGUAGAAAAAUUCUUUCUUCUGAUGAUCUUUCUCAAUGAUUUGUACAAGUAUAUAUACAGUUUAAAAUAAAGAAAAGAAUAUUCCUAUGUAUUCCUCUUUGUCCACCUGUCUAAUUUCUCCUUGUUAUUGUAUAACAAACUAACUACCUAUGAAGAUAAAUACAAGAAUAAUAUUUACAGCUUAAAUUAUUCUAAAUCCCCACGUGUAUAAUUUAUUUAUCUAGAGUCUUCAUAGGUUCUGUCACAUGAACGCUCAUGAUUUAAUCCAUCAAGUCAAUAAGGAAAGAUGGUGAUUAAUUUAGUCUACAAGAUAUACUCUUUCCUUGUAAAGUCCGAAAACACUUAGCUUCCUUGUCUGAAACGUGAGCUUUGCUUUCUCUGUUCUACAUCUUCAUUUUAUCAUCUUCUGCAUUUAUGUUUCUCUAAAAAUCAUCACCAUUUUUCACCAAAUUAGAAAAUCUUACACCAACAAUAUCACUAUUAGACCUAGCUCCUAUGAGCUUUACAAAGGAAGGUGAAUCCUAUGUGUCCUUGAUGAGUUACAACUCAAGAAAGGAAAGGCAUUAAUAAAUGUUGUAUUAUUAUCCUAAUCAUUUAUAGUAAUAUUAUAUAUUUUUUAAAAAAUACUUAUAUAUGUGUGUGCAUCCAAGCUCAAAGUAUUAUAUGAUACAAUUGUUAUCGGGUGCACCUCUCUAAGUAAGAUUGUGAGUGCAUGUGUUGUGUCAAUCUCGUUGUUCUUUUUCCCCUAGAACUAGACGCCCACGGGAGAUGGACAUGUCUUGGGUCACUUUUUAUCACCAUAAAGUUCAACAUAUCCCAAUAUUUUCAACACAAAUUAUAAAUAUAGAGGUAAGAAAUUUUUUAUUUAAAAAAUUAAUUUUGAACUUAUAAUUCCAAAAGUAUAAUGUGUGCAAUAGUAAGAACUAAAUGUUGAACCUGUAAAAUUUAUAUUUUGGAUUUAUCUCUUUAUAAUAGUGCAUCCAUUUGCCCAAAAUUUUGAAUCAGCCUCUCACUCCAAAUCAAGAUAUAUAACACUACGAUGAAAAUAAAUAAAUAUAUAACACUACUUUUUCUUUAGAAGUUCUACUAAAUUCCGUGUGUUUUACUUAAUUGCGUAUAUUCAAAUGACACUACUAAUUCUUCUUUGGCAAUUAUACUAAAUCUGUUUGUUGACGUGGACAUUUCGCAGACUUAAAUUAUCGCAAAAUCUAGCUAUCCAAUUACCAUUUCAAACAGUGAUAGUUUCGUUCUCAAUUUAUUACUAAUAGAUAUGAUUUGUAUAAUUUUUCAAUAUUAUAAUAUGUCUCCACAACAUGUAAUGGAAAUUUUAGUCUUGUUGAACUUCUCAGGAAGAGAAAUCGGGCAAGAAGUGUUUUAAAAUGGAAUUUUAUAGUCUAAGUAAUGAUUAAUAAUUCAAGUACUGAAAAACCUUCCACCACAUUCAAGAUAAGUACUAGGAAAACAGAAAAAACAAAACAGGCAGAAGUAGAGGUCUCUAAAUAAUUGAAACUUUGGCACACAUCACAUCCUUGUUACAUCACUUUUGUUAAUUGUUUCAAAGGUUACAUUAUAGUUUUAAUGAACUACUAAUCUUAAUAUUGUUUGUCCUAUUAAUAAAUGAAUUAGUUCGAUAAAGAAAAGAUUAAGCGAAUUGCUUAAAAUUAAAAAAAUUACAUUAUAAGUAAUACAUUCGGUCUGAAGGUGAAGGAGAAAAAAAAAAGCACAAUGAAUUCAAUAGAUAGAAUGCAUGCCUCUAAUGAUAAUUCCUUUAUUAUUUUUUAUCCGGUGUCCAAUAUUUAUAUUUGGAUCCGAUUAAAUUCGAAUUCACACCGAAAAAUCCUACAUUAAGGAUAAAGCGCUCCUUUUGCUAGCCAAUCAUAAAAGAAGACAAGCUUACGCAACAUCAAACCAGAUAGCUUAGCUAGGUUUUUCACUCUAAAUUGAAGCAAUUAGGUAGCUUAAGAUUUGGAAUAAUUAUAAAAAUUAGAAGAAUUUAUCCAAAUAGCCGUCCAAUUAAUGUCUUAAACUAAAAAUAGCCGACGAAUGUAUAAUAUAUAGAUUAUAUAUACCAAUUAGAAAAAGUAAACAUUAAAUCUGGCCGGCUAUUUGUAGAACAAUCCAUCGUCUCACUAUCUUUUUCUGCAUGCCCUACUUUGAAAGAUUGAACUAAUAUGAGAUUGGUUAUUUGCAAUCCGCGACCUCAAGGUUAUGAGACUCGAGCUAUCAACUGCUUUACCCUGUGCUGAAGAUAAGAAUUGUAACUCAAUGAUUAAAUAAUUUAAAGGCAUGUUAGCUGUCAAUAUGGCAGCACCUUUGCAUGCUUAAAGUUUGAGAUGUGUAAAUAUUUUAAUAAAUUAUAUUUUAUCAGAAUUCGAAAAGUGCUUCAUAAUUUGUUGGAAUAAAUUAGCAGAUCCGCAUAUUCAUUGGUCAGAACAUGGAACUUUGGACGAUUGAUUAUUUUAUUUUCUCUUUCUAUUCUCUUCGUCGACAAUUAAUAUGUUUAGAUUUUGUAUCCCAUGUAGUUUCACGUCCGAAUUCAUUAUUCAUAUUGAGUCAUUCCCAUUUAAAGAGCAAUAUUCUGGCUUGAAAAAUCAAGUCAAUCAGAUCUUGACCUAUGAUAAGAUUAAUUGAAAAAUAAGAAAUUAAUGGGUAGGUAGAACCCCCUUCUAUUAGUUAAUUUCAAAUAAUCAGUAACGUUAGUUUUUGUACAGUAAAAGAACAACUUACACCCGUUCAAUAACCAGAUCAAUAAAUGCAUGACAUAUAUUUUUUAUGUAUACAACUUCUUGUUAGUUUUCUCUAUUCAAAACUAGAAAAUUAGAUCGAAGACGUUAGUUUAAGAAAAUAAAAAACAGAAAAUGACCUUAGUGUUUGUAAGAAAGUUUCUAGAUACGAAAAAUUAACUGCGAUUAUAAAAACAUAUGAAAUUUUCUUAUUGAUGAAUCUUUGUCGGUACAAUUAUGUUUGCUCUCUUGAUUCUUCUUUCUGAAUUAUUCUUCAUUACUCGAGGGCUUAAGCAACGUAUUUCUCAAACAUAACAUAAUGCAGACUUUUGGGAUAUAUUUGAUCCCCAUAAAAAGAAAUAAUGUCUUUUUAUCAUUUCAGCGACUUUGAAAAAGACUAUAUUUGAUCUCUGAAUAUUUUAUGAACGAAAUUUCCUUACUUAAGUGGACAUAGUCAGCAAUGUUAGUUUUUCUGUAGUAAAAGAACUACUUACACACAUUUAUUGAUAACCAGAAUAAAUUAAAUGCAUGACAUGUGUUUUUAUGUGAACAAUUUCUUCCUAUGUCAAGGAUAUUGUUUAUUCUUACCUCAAUUUAACAUUUAAUUACACUAAAUAUGUUAUUUGGUUUUGUGUACGGUCAAAGUCGGGCUCGCUCUUUGUGUGACUAAUCGAGACUGGAAUAUGAUAGGUCAAGGUUCGACCUCAUAUUAUAUCGAACCAUGGUGCAAAGUUAUAUCAUCGAGUUCGUGACCCAGAGACCGAUCAAGAUAGAGACCGAGCAAGAUCAAGGGAAACUUAACUAGCCAAAUAACGGAAAGUCGAAAUAUCCGCAAUCGGGCCAGGAUCACGGCGGAAAUCCCGACACGUAUCAAGAAGAGGCCGAUUAAUUAGCUAAUCAUGAGAUUUCUUACCUCAUAUAGAACUGUAUCAAAAGUAGGACUCCCCUACUAUAUCAAGGGGGUCUGAUCAUUUGUAAAAUACAUCAAUUUUACGUAACAUAAAGCAAUAUAUUGUCAUUUUCUAGCUACAAUUAUCUUGUUACUCUGUUCAUACGUCAGUUGAAACAUCUUUGGUCAAGGGUGAUCGAACUCGAGAGUCAAGGCUAUCCGAUUCGUGUAGUAUGCAUUUAUUUCUUUUAUCGUCAAUUUUGAUAUUAAUUUGUCUUCUUGAUUUGUGCCAAGUUAUAUCACGUAUCCUUAAAACCGCGUACAAAUUCAAUUGUUAUCCGUUUUUAGGGUAAACAGUUUGACGCCCACUGUGGGGCUAAGGAUAAUAGUGGUUACCUGGUACAAACUUUCGUAAGACACACUAUUUUACACUUGUUCUUUGAAGUAUCUUUGAUUACAGGACUAAAAAAUGUCAAACUCUUAGUCAGCACCUCUACAUAUUGACAAUGAUUUCGGCAACCACGACGAAAAUGAUAACAUAGCACCAGGGAACAAUGUACCCCGGUUGACCUCGAUGGAGUUUCGGCUGUAGAUCCAAUCGACGUCAGUUCACAUGUAGCCAUCAACGAAAAUUUGGCCGUCCAUCCCAAAGGCGACAUCCGUGGGGAUGCUCGAUCAGCCGCUCAAAGAGCACGUGGUGGUGAAGAUGGAGGAAUCAGCUUGCAGGUGAUCUUCAAAAUGUUGCAGGCUCAGCAGACAUCAAUAGCCUAGCUCCAAAACUAGAAUCACCCACCGAGCAGGGUCGAGCUCGAGCCGUCCCAGGAAGUUGUACACAGGGUCGAAUGGGUUUCAAGAAAAUCGAGCGAGAAAGAAUCAGAGACCAAUCCUGCAAUCAUGAAGAUGCUCGAAGAACUGACAAAGUGAAUUGAGUCAGGGGAAAAGAAGAUCAAGGCAAACGACAAAAAGGUGAAAACUUACAACUCCAGGGUCGAUCAAAUCCCCCGGGCACUGCCAAUAUUGAAGGGAUUGGAUUCCAAAAAGUUCAUACAAAAACCUUUUCCCCCGAGCGCGGCUCCGAAGCCAAUCCCCAAGAAGUACCACAUGCCCGAGAUUCCUAAGUAUAAUGGAACGACGGAUCCGAACGAGCACGUCACCUCUUACACAUGUGCUAUCAAAGGGAACGAUCUAGAGGAUGACGAGAUCGAAUCUGUCUUGCUAAAGAAAUUCAGGGAGACCUUGUCAACGGGAUCUAUGAUAUGGUACCAUGAUUUACCACCUAAUUCUAUUGACUCAUUUACUAUGCUUGAAUAUUCUUUCGUAAAGGCACACGCCGGGGCCAUCAAGGUCAAAACCAGGAAGUCAGACCUUUUCAAGGUAAGGCAGAAAGACAACGAGAUACUUAGGGAAUUCAUGUCUCGAUUCCAAAUGGAAUGGAUGGACUUGCCACCGGUCGCUGAUGAUUGGGUUGAUCAAGCUUUCACUCAAGUACUUAAUGUUCGAAGCUCAGUGGCUUCACAACAGUUGAAGUAGAAUUUGAUAGAAUACCCAGUUGUUACUUGGGUCGAUGUGCAUAAUCGGUAUCAAUCAGAGAUCAGGGACGAGGACGAUAAACUUAGGGCUCCUUCUGGGUCCGUUUAUCCUAUCAGACCCGAUAUAAUCAAGAGGGAUAUUGAUAGAGAACCGAGGUCGAUAUCAGCCGUAUAAUAGAGAUCGUAUGAGCAGUAGAUCUAGGCGAAAUUCUGCACGAAAUGAAAGGAGAAAUGAUCGGGGUAAAAGCUCUAGAGGGAUUAUGAUAAAGAACAGCUUCGACAGACCCAUCGGACCCAAAGAGGCACCAAUAUUAUUAGAGUACAACUUUAAUGUUGAUGCGACUACCAUCGUAUCGGAUAUCGGACGCAUCAAAGAUACCAAAUGGCCUCGACCUUUACAAACCGAUCCAACACAAAGGGAUCCCAACCAAACAUGCAAAUAUCAUAGCACACAUGGCCACAGAACGGAGGAUUGUCGACAAUUGAGAGAAAAAGUAGCCCAGUUAUUCAACAACGGGCACAUUCGAGAAUUCCUGAGUGACCGAGCUAAAAGUCAUUUCAGAAACGGGGAUUCCAAUAAACAAAAUGAACAAGACGAUCCCAAAUACGUCAUUCAUAUGAUCAUCAGAGGGGUCGAUAUUCCCCAAGGUCUGAUGAUAAAGCGCACCAAAGUAUCAAUCACAAAGGAAAAACAAACUCGAGAUUACAUACCAGAAGGAACUUUAUCUUUCAACGAUGAUGAUGCAGAAGGAAUUAUGCAACCCUAUAAUGAUGCACUGGUAAUUUCUAUACUCAUGAAUAAAACUCAAGUUAAAUGUGUGCUAAUUGAUCCAAGUAGCUCCGCCAACAUCAUUGGAUCGAGGGUCGUAGAGCAACUCGGCCUACAAGACCAAAUCGUACCCGCGACCCGAGUAUUAAAUGGAUUCAACAUGGCUUGUGAAACUACUAAGGGAGAAAUAACGUUGCUGGUGCCAUCUAGGAGACCAAGUUUUACGUUAUCGAAGGGGACAUCGGGUACAAUGCCCUGUUCCGGAGGCCAUAGAUCCAUAACAUGAGGGAUAUGCCCUCCACCCUUCACCCGGUAUUAAAAUUUCCAACUCCAGAAGGGAUAAAGACGUUUUAUGGGGAGCAACCCGCCGCAAAGCAAAUGUUUGCUGUCGAUGAAGUAAUUCUGAUAUCAACAGUCUCAUCGACAAAGGACUCAGGUUCGAAAGCAAAACAGGAAGCCAAAUAGCAAUUAUCGAUGCUAGCCUUGACCCAAUCGAACAAGCAAGCGAUUGACGAAGACGAGGAUUACGGGGUUUCUCGAUCCUUUAUAGCUCCCGAUGAUUUCGAUGCUACUAAAUCAACGGUCGAAGAGCUGGAGCAGGUCGUGCUGAUUGAACGUCUGCCCGAUUGAAAGGUUUACUUGGGCACGAGGUUAAUUCCCGAGCUCAGGAAAAAGCUCUAUCAAUUUCUUAUAGCUAAUAUCGAUUGUUUUGCUUUGUACCAUCUCGAUAUGACAGAGAUCCCAUCGGAGAUCACUACUCACAAGUUGAGCUUUUACCCGAAGAUUCAUCCGAUAAAGCAGAAAAGGAAACCCUAGUCCGAGAUCAAGCAUGCCUUCGUCAAGGAUGAUGUAACUAAACUCCUUAAAAUAGGGUCCAUCUGGGAGGUCAAAUACCCGAAAUGGUUAGCAAACGUAGUAGUAGUCCCUAAAAAGGGGACAAACUAUGAAUGUGUAUAUAUUAUAAAGAUUUAAAUAAGGCAUGCCCUAAAGACUCUUUCCCUUUGCUAACAUCAAUCGCAUGAUCGAUGCCACGGCCGGCCACGAGAUCCUCAGUUUUUUCGAUGCCUACUCUGGGUACAACUAAAUACGGAUGAACCCGGAUGACCAAGAAAAGACCUCUUUCAUCACUAAGUAUGGUACAUACUGCUAUAACGUAAUGCCAUUACGAUUAAAAAAUGUCGGUGCCACUUACCAAUGACUAGUAAACCAAAUGUUCAAAGAAAAAAAAUAGGGAAAACCAUGGAAGUUUAUAUUGACGAUAUGUUAGUUAAGUCCCUAUGAGUAGAGUACCAUUUAAAGUAUUUGCAGGAAACCUUCAGUAUAUUGAAAAAGUACAACAUGAAGUUGAAUCCAGAAAAGUGCACGUUCGAGGUCGGAUUCGGUAAAUUUCUCAGGUUCAUGGUAUCCACCGAGGGAUCGAGAUCAACCCCGACAAGAUCAAAGCUAUCGAGGAUAUCACGGUAGUGGAUAAGGUGAAGGUUGUACAAAGGUUAACCGGACACAUUACCGCCCUAGGGCGAUUCAUCUCGAGGUCUUCCGAUAAGAGCUAACGAUUUUUCUCGUUACUGAAGAAGAAAAACGACUUCAUAUGGACCCUAGAAUGCCAACGGGACUUAGAGGAACUUAAAUGAUAUUUAUCGAGCCUACCAUUGCUUCACACGCUGAGGGAAGAUGAACGAGUAUACUUAUAUCUAGUAGUAUCAGAAAUAGUAGUAAGUGGAGUCCUAGUUCGGGAAGAACAAUGUACGAAAUUUUCAAUUUAUUAUGUUAGCAGGACCUUAGGCGAGGCCGAAACUAGGUAUCCUCACCUAGAAAAAUUGGCACUCGCUUUGCUAAUUCCUCUAGAAAAUUGAAACCAUUUCUUCGAGUGCAACCUAUAUGUGUUGUGACAACUUACCCUUUACGAAAUAUAAUGCAUAAACCUGAACUCUCGAGGUGAUUGUUCCAAUGGGCCAUAAAUUUCAGCAGGUACGAUAUCGAAUAUCAAUCCCGAACAACCAUUAAAUUUCAAAUUUUUGCAGAUUUCAUGGCCAACUUUACGCCAACCCUAAUACCCGAAGUCGAAAGAGAGUUGUUGGUAAACUCAGGAACAUCUUCGGGAAUUUGGACCCUUUUUAUGGACGGUGCCUCGAACACAAAGGGGUCUGAACUUGGCUUAAUCCUGAAGCCACCCAUAGACUAGUUAGACAAUCUAUUAUAACUGUAAAAUUAACUAACAAUGAGGCCGAAUAUGAGGCCAUGCUUGCAGGUCUCGAACUGGCCAAAGGUUUGGGGGCGGAGGUGAUCGAAGCUAAGUGCGACUCCCUCCUUAUAGUAAACCAAGUUAACGGAAUGUUUGAAGUCAGAGAAGAACGAAUGCAAAGGUACCUAGACAAGUUACAGGUAACAUUACAUCAAUUCAAAGAGUGGACUUUGAAGCACGAGCCUCGAGAUUAAAAUAGUGAGGCAGGACUCCUUAAUUAAAGAGAACACUAUCCAAGAUAGGGAAGGAGUUAGAAGUUGAAAUCAACUAGAACUCUUCCACCAAGGAAGAGUUGCAUCAGAACUCUAGUUAUUUCUUCAUCUACUAACUCUAUAAAUUGCAGGAUAUUCUCACAUUACAAGUGUUGCACAAAAACGUAGAAGUUAAACGUGAAUUGAGAGCAAAAUAUCAAGGCUUUUUGCAAGCAGUUCAUGUGUAAUUCAAGUGUGUAAACCUGAAGCUACAUGAACCAGAUUGAAGAACCAACUUAAAGAGUUUUAUGUGUCUUU
rnacentral:lncRNA from 1 species